rnacentral:rRNA from 1 species
AGAGUUUGAUCCUGGCUCAGGAUGAACGCUAGCUACAGGCUUAACACAUGCAAGUCGAGGGGCAGCAUGGACCCAGCUUUGCUGGGUUUGAUGGCGACCGGCGCACGGGUGAGUAACGCGUAUCCAACCUGCCCUUUACUCCGGGAUAGUCUCCUGAAAGGGAGUUUAAUACCGGAUGUGUUUGUCUUUCCGCAUGGGAGCGACAAAUAAAGAUUGAUUGGUAAAGGAUGGGGAUGCGUCCCAUUAGCUUGUUGGCGGGGUAACGGCCCACCAAGGCGACGAUGGGUAGGGGUUCUGAGAGGAAGGUCCCCCACAUUGGAACUGAGACACGGUCCAAACUCCUACGGGAGGCAGCAGUGAGGAAUAUUGGUCAAUGGGCGGGAGCCUGAACCAGCCAAGUAGCGUGAAGGAUGACGGCCCUACGGGUUGUAAACUUCUUUUAUAAGGGAAUAAAGUUCGCCACGCGUGGUGUUUUGUAUGUACCUUAUGAAUAAGCAUCGGCUAAUUCCGUGCCAGCAGCCGCGGUAAUACGGAAGAUGCGAGCGUUAUCCGGAUUUAUUGGGUUUAAAGGGAGCGUAGGCGGGCUUUUAAGUCAGCGGUCAAAUGCCACGGCUCAACCGUGGCCAGCCGUUGAAACUGCAAGCCUUGAGUCUGCACAGGGCACAUGGAAUUCGUGGUGUAGCGGUGAAAUGCUUAGAUAUCACGAAGAACUCCGAUCGCGAAGGCAUUGUGCCGGGGCAGCACUGACGCUGAGGCUCGAAAGUGCGGGUAUCAAACAGGAUUAGAUACCCUGGUAGUCCGCACGGUAAACGAUGAAUGCUCGCUAUGGGCGAUAUAUAGUCCGUGGCCAAGCGAAAGCGUUAAGCAUUCCACCUGGGGAGUACGCCGGCAACGGUGAAACUCAAAGGAAUUGACGGGGGCCCGCACAAGCGGAGGAACAUGUGGUUUAAUUCGAUGAUACGCGAGGAACCUUACCCGGGCUUGAAUUGCAGGUGCAUGAGUCGGAGACGGCUCUUUCCUUCGGGACUCCUGUGAAGGUGCUGCAUGGUUGUCGUCAGCUCGUGCCGUGAGGUGUCGGCUUAAGUGCCAUAACGAGCGCAACCCUUCUCCCCAGUUGCCAUCGGGUAAUGCCGGGCCCUCUGGGGACACUGCCAUCGUAAGAUGCGAGGAAGGUGGGGAUGACGUCAAAUCAGCACGGCCCUUACGUCCGGGGCUACACA